GCGGCGGNCGGGUGAGUAAUGCUUGGGAAUAUGCCUUAUGGUGGGGGACAACAGUUGGAAACGACUGCUAAUACCGCAUGAUGUCUACGGACCAAAGUGGGGGACCUUCGGGCCUCACGCCAUAAGAUUAGCCCAAGUGGGAUUAGCUAGUUGGUGAGGUAAUGGCUCACCAAGGCGACGAUCCCUAGCUGGUUUGAGAGGAUGAUCAGCCACACUGGGACUGAGACACGGCCCAGACUCCUACGGGAGGCAGCAGUGGGGAAUAUUGCACAAUGGGCGCAAGCCUGAUGCAGCCAUGCCGCGUGUGUGAAGAAGGCCUUCGGGUUGUAAAGCACUUUCAGUAAGGAGGAAAGGUUAAGUGUUAAUAGCACUUAGCUGUGACGUUACUUACAGAAGAAGCACCGGCUAACUCCGUGCCAGCAGCCGCGGUAAUACGGAGGGUGCGAGCGUUAAUCGGAAUUACUGGGCGUAAAGCGUACGCAGGCGGUUUGUUAAGCGAGAUGUGAAAGCCCCGGGCUCAACCUGGGAACUGCAUUUCGAACUGGCAAACUAGAGUGUGAUAGAGGGUGGUAGAAUUUCNNNUGUAGCGGUGAAAUGCGUAGAGAUCUGNANGGAAUACCGAUGGCGANNNNAGCCACCUGGGUCAACACUGACGCUCAUGNACGANGCGUGGGGAGCAAACAGGAUUANA
rnacentral:rRNA from 1 species